ensembl:lncRNA
AUGGAUGCAUGGACACGGGAAGAAGUGGUGCUGAGGGGGCUGCAGCACCCCCCUGAAAAAUGCCUUAAAAAACAUUUAAUUGAAUAUCCACAUGCAGUGAUUGUGAUGGUCUACACAGCACCAACCAAGCUUUACAAUGAAACUCUGCUGGGGCACAUUCGUGACGACGCAAAAAAACUGUUGGACAAAGGGAAUUUGCAUUUCCAAGUUAAAAGGCCACCAGGACUGGACGAGACAACAUGUGUGAAGGAGUUCUUCUGUUUUGCUGAGAAGUCCCUGGAAGCACACAAUACUUCGGACACAUCAAACCUUACUCGUCACUUGUGUCGGUACAACAAGGUAAAGAGGAAAAAACAACAUUUUAAAUGUCUUACAAUGUCUCAGAAAAAAUGUCUGCUAACUAUGAAUUUGCUCUUGAAAUCAACAAUAUGUAACUUUCUGGAGAAAGAUAGCUGA